rnacentral:rRNA from 1 species
AUUGAACGCUGGCGGCAUGCCUUACACAUGCAAGUCGAACGGCAGCAUGAUCUAGCUUGCUAGAUUGAUGGCGAGUGGCGAACGGGUGAGUAAUACAUCGGAACGUGCCCUGUAGUGGGGGAUAACUAGUCGAAAGAUUAGCUAAUACCGCAUACGACCUGAGGGUGAAAGUGGGGGACCGCAAGGCCUCAUGCUAUAGGAGCGGCCGAUGUCUGAUUAGCUAGUUGGUGAGGUAAAGGCUCACCAAGGCGACGAUCAGUAGCUGGUCUGAGAGGACGAUCGGCCACACUGGGACUGAGACACGGCCCAGACUCCUACGGGAGGCAGCAGUGGGGAAUUUUGGACAAUGGGGGCAACCCUGAUCCAGCAAUGCCGCGUGUGUGAAGAAGGCCUUCGGGUUGUAAAGCACUUUUGUCCGGAAAGAAAUCGCACUUACUAAUAUUAGGUGUGGAUGACGGUACCGGAAGAAUAGGGACCGGCUAACUACGUGCCAGCCGCCGCCGUAAUAC